rnacentral:rRNA from 1 species
GGCUCAGGACAAACGCGGGCGGCGUGCGUAACACAUGCAAGUCGGACGGGGUGCAGUUCUUCGGGACUGUAUCGAGUGGCGGACGGGUGCGUAACACGUGGAUGACCUGCCCUGGUGUGGGGGAUACCCGCUAGAAAUAGCGGCUAAUACCGCAUGGGUUGGUGCUGGUAGGCAGCAUCAGCAAAGCCUUCGGGCGCAGCAGGAGGGGUCCGCGGCCGAUUAGUUAGCUGGCGGGGUAAAGGCCCACCAAGGCGACGAUCGGUAGCUGGUCUGAGAGGAUGAUCAGCCACACUGGGAUUGAGAACGGCCCAGACUCCUACGGGGGGCAGCAGUGAGGAAUCUUCCGCAAUGGGCGCAAGCCUGACGGAGCAACGCCGCGUGGAGGAUGACGGCCUUCGGGUUGUAAACUCCUUUUCUGUGGGACGAGAACGGACGGUACCGCAGGAAGAAGUCUCGGCUAACUACGUGCCAGCAGCCGCGGUAAUACGUAGGAGACGAGCGUUGUCCGGAGUUACUGGGCGUAAAGGGUGCGCAGGCGGCUUCGCGCGUGUGCGGUGAAAUCUCCCGGCUCAACUGGGAGGGUGCCGUGCAGACGGCGGAGCUUGAGGGUCGGAGAGGGGCGUGGAAUUCCGGGUGGAGCGGUGAAAUGCGUAGAGAUCCGGAGGAACACCGACGGCGAAGGCAGCGCCCUGGCCGACAUCUGACGCUCAGGCACGAAAGCUGGGGGAGCGAACAGGAUUAGAUACCCUGGUAGUCCCAGCUGUAAACGAUGUCCACCGGGUGCUAGGGGUAUCGACCCCCUUGGUGCCGCAGUUAACGUGAUGAGUGGACCGCCUGGGGAGUACGGCCGCAAGGUUAAAACUCAAA